GUAGGGUGCGAGCGUUGUCCGGAAUUACUGGGCGUAAAGAGCUCGUAGGUGGUUUGUCGCGUCGUUUGUGUAAGUCCACAGCUUAACUGUGGGACUGCAGGCGAUACGGGCAUAACUUGAGUGCUGUAGGGGAGACUGGAAUUCCUGGUGUAGCGGUGAAAUGCGCAGAUAUCAGGAGGAACACCGAUGGCGAAGGCAGGUCUCUGGGCAGUAACUGACGCUGAGGAGCGAAAGCAUGGGUAGCGAACAGGAUUAGAUACCCUGGUAGUCCAUGCCGUAAACGGUGGGCGCUAGGUGUGAGUCCCUUCCACGGGAUUUGUGCCGUAGCUAACGCAUUAAGCGCCCCGCCUGGGGAGUACGGCCGCAAGGCUAAA
rnacentral:rRNA from 1 species